AUUGAACGCUGGCGGCAGGCCUAACACAUGCAAGUCGAGCGGAUGAAGGGAGCUUGCUCCUGGAUGCAGCGGCGGACGGGUGGGUAAUGCCUAGGAAUCUGCCUGGUAUUGGGGGAUAACGUCCGGAAACGGGCGCUAAUACCGCAUACGUCCUGAGGGAGAAAGUGGGGGAUCUUCGGUCCUCACGCUAUCAGAUGAGCCUAGGUCGGAUUAGCUAGUUGGUGGGGUAAAGGCCUACCAAGGCGACGAUCCGUAACUGGUCUGAGAGGAUGAUCAGUCACACUGGAACUGAGACACGGUCCAGACUCCUACGGGAGGCAGCAGUGGGGAAUAUUGGGCAAUGGGCGAAAGCCUGAUCCAGCCAUGCCGCGUGUGUGAAGAAGGUCUUCGGAUAGUAAAGCACUUUAAGUUGGGAGGAAGGGCAGUAAGUUAAUACCUUGCUGUUUUGACGUUACCAACAGAAUAAGCACCGGCUAACUUCGUG
rnacentral:rRNA from 1 species